GACAGAGGGUGCAAACGUUGCUCGGAAUUACUGGGCGUAAAGCGCGUGUAGGUGGAUUGGUGUGUCAGAUGUGAAAGCCCUGGGCUCAACCCAGGAGCUGCACCUGAAACUACCAGUCUUGAGUGGUGGAGAGGGAAGUGGAAUUCCUGGUGUAGAGGUGAAAUUCGUAGAUAUCAGGAGGAACACCAGUGGCGAAGGCGGCUUCCUGGACACUAACUGACGCUGAGACGCGAAAGCGUGGGGAGCAAACAGG
rnacentral:rRNA from 1 species